UACAGAGGGUGCGAGCGUUAAUCGGAAUUACUGGGCGUAAAGCGUGCGCAGAUGGUCAUGUAAGUCGGGUGUGAAAGCCCCGGGCUCAACCUGGGAAUUGCGAUGGAGACUGCAAGGCUUGAAUCUGGCAGAGGGGGGUAGAAUUCCACGUGUAGCAGUGAAAUGCGUAGAGAUGUGGAGGAACACCGAUGGCGAAGGCAGCCCCCUGGGUCAAGAUUGACGCUCAUGCACGAAAGCGUGGGGAGCAAACAGG
rnacentral:rRNA from 1 species